rnacentral:sRNA from 1 species
UAAAUUUUUAAAAUAAUAUGUAUGAAAUUGAAUAUAAAUAUUCAAAUUAUGACUCAGUACUCAGUAGAAAAUUUUCUUAAAUCUAUUUUUGACCCGUUAUAAUAUUUUUCAUGUAUUGAACAGUUUAUAUUCU